CAGUAGCCGCGGUAAUACGUAGGUGGCAAGCGUUGUCCGGAAUUAUUGGGCGUAAAGGGCUCGCAGGCGGUUUCUUAAGUCUGAUGUGAAAGCCCCCGGCUCAACCGGGGAGGGUCAUUGGAAACUGGGAAACUUGAGUGCAGAAGAGGAGAGUGGAAUCCCACGUGUAGCGGUGAAAUGCGUAGAGAUGUGGAGGAACACCAGUGGUGAAGGCGACUCUCUGGUCUGUAACUGACGCUGAGGAGCGAAAGCGUAGGGAGCGAACAGGAUUAGAUACCCGAGUAGUCCCUGUCUCUUAUAA
rnacentral:rRNA from 1 species